CCCUAGUAACGGCGAGUGAAGAGGGAAAAGCUCAAGUUUGGAAGCUUCGUGGCAUAGCUACGACGCGUUGUAAACUGAAGUUUUUUGGGUGAUUGGGCGACCGAAUAAAUAAGUCCUUUGGAAAGGGGCAACAUAGAGGGUGACAUUCCCGUCUUUGGUUCGAGUCAGUUCAAUCGCUACCCAGGAAACGACGAGUCAGGUUGUUUGGGAAUGCAGCCUAAAAUGGGAGGUAAAUCUCUCCUAAAGCUAAAUACUGGCGUAAGACCGAUAGCGAACAAGUACCGUGAGGGAAAGAUGAAAAGGACUUUGAAAAGAGGGUCAAAUAGUACGUGAAAUUGUUGAAAGGGAACCGUAUGAAAGUAGACUGGCUUGGUGAUGAUCAAUGUGUGUUUCGACACGCAUGCACUCAUUGCCAAUUGCCAGCCAGCGGCAGUUUUUGUUGAAGGAAGAAAAUCUUGGGAAUGUGGCUUUGACCUUGGUUGAAGUGUUAUAGCCCUUGAUAAAAUACUUUGGCAGAGACUGAGGCUAGCAGUGGGUCUUUUGGGAAGUUUGCUCGCUUGUCGCUUGAUGGUCAAGUUUUUCUUCGGAUGCUUGGUGAUUGAGAGGCAACUCGUGUGAUGCUUCACCCUCCCACUUAGGUCGCUGGCGUA
rnacentral:rRNA from 1 species